CAACCCUCAAGCCCUGCUUGGUGUUGGGGCCCUACGGCUGCCGUAGGCCCUGAAAGGAAGUGGCGGGCUCGCUACAACUCCGAGCGUAGUAAUUCAUUAUCUCGCUAGGGACGUUGCGGCGCGCUCCUGCCGUUAAAGACCAUCUUUAACUCAA
rnacentral:misc_RNA from 3 species